GACGAACGCUGGCGGCGUGCCUAACACAUGCAAGUCGAACGGAGAUACGAUUUCGGUUGUAUCUUAGUGGCGAACGGGUGAGUAACGCGUGAACAACCUGACUCUAAGAGGGGGAUAACACUCGGAAACGGGUGCUAAUACCGCAUAAGACCACGACCCGGCAUCGGGAUGAGGUCAAAGGAGCAAUCCGCUGAGAGAGGGGUUCGCGUCCCAUUAGAUAGAUGGCGGGGUAACGGCCCACCAUGUCAACGAUGGGUAGCCGAGCUGAGAGGCUGAUCGGCCACACUGGAACUGAGACACGGUCCAGACUCCUACGGGAGGCAGCAGUAGGGAAUUUUCCACAAUGGGGGCAACCCUGAUGGAGCAACGCCGCGUGCAGGAUGAAGGCCCUCGGGUCGUAAACUGCUUUUCUCUGUGAUGAUUAUGACAGUAGCAGAGGAAUAAGGAUCGGCUAACUCCGUGCCAGCAGCCGCCGUAA
rnacentral:rRNA from 1 species